rnacentral:rRNA from 1 species
UACGGGGGGAGCAAGCGUUGUUCGGAUUUAUUGGGCGUAAAGGGCGCGUAGGCGGCGCGUCAAGUCAGUUGUGAAAUCUCCGGGCUUAACUCGGAGCGGUCAAGUGAUACUGUCGUGCUAGAGUGCGGAAGGGGCUACUGGAAUUCUCGGUGUAGCGGUGAAAUGCGUAGAUAUCGAGAGGAACACCGGCGGCGAAGGCGGGUAGCUGGGCCGACACUGACGCUGAGGCGCGAAAGCCAGGGGAGCGAACGGG